UGUUCUCUGGUGUGGACGCUAAUAUCGUUAUCUUUAUAGUUAUCUUUAUACUUAUCGUUCUUGGUGUGAACGGGGCUUUAGUACACCCCAAAAGGAAAUUUGCUCUUCCAAGCCUUUCAAUGGGGGUAAGCAGGUCUUUAUUCCAUGUCUUCUGAACUGUUGACAACAAACACCCGCUUACCGCCAUCGAAAGGCUUGGAAGAGCAAGGAUAAUUUUUAAUGUAAGUCUGAUUGGAUUAUUCUGAAAGAAGAAAGACAAAUACACCUAGGAGAUGGAUGAAUUUUCAUUCUCGGUUGAACUAACACUUUAAUGUUCCACAGAAGAAAAAAAAAAAGAAGAACGUUGUACAGGUUUGGAAUGACAUAAGGGGUCUUGUGCCUGGACCACAGUAUGGAGAGGGACAGCCUGGGGGAAGGACAGAGCUGACACCAAGCACUGCUGACUGCAGGAGGAGAGGGGCAGCAGAGCCGGAGGGCUGAGUGUGGAGAGCGUAUACACCCUGACAAGUCAGGCAGAUAGCAACUGAGUCAGACACAUUGCUUGGCAACACCGUAUUGUCUGUGUUAUUCAUUUUAUACAUACUUUUCUGCAAAUAAUUCAGGAAUGUGUUUGUUUUUACAGACCUUUGAAAUGUAGAAUAUUAAUUAAAAUAAGAACAUCC